CGAGGGAUCAGACCCGAAACCGAGUGAUCUAGGCAUGUCCAGGAUGAAGGUAAGGUAACACUUACUGGAGGUCCGAACCCACAUCUGUUGAAAAAGAUCGGGAUGAGGUGUGCCUAGGGGUGAAAGGCCAAUCAAACUCGGAGAUAGCUGGUUCUCUGCGAAAUCUAUUUAGGUAGAGCGUCGUCUGAAUACCCUCGGGGGUAGAGCACUGAAUGGGUAAUGGGGGCCCACAGCCUUACUGAUCCUAAUCAAACUCCGAAUACCGAGGAGUACUAGACGGCAGACACACAGCGGGUGCUAACGUCCGUCGUGGAGAGGGAAACAACCCUGACCUACAGCUAAGGCCCCUAAUUCAUGGCUAAGUGGGAAAGCAGGUGGGACGACCAAAACAACCAGGAUGUUGGCUUAGAAGCAGCCAUCAUUUAAAGAAAGCGUAAUAGCUCACUGGUCUAGCUCCAUGGCACCGAAAAUGUAUCGGGGCUCAAGUGAUUCACCGAAGCGACGAGACCUUGG
rnacentral:rRNA from 1 species